CCUACGGGAGGCAGCAGUGAGGAAUAUUGGUCAAUGGACGCAAGUCUGAACCAGCCAUGCCGCGUGCAGGAAGAAGGCUCUAUGAGUUGUAAACUGCUUUUGUACGAGGGUAAACGCAGAUACGCGUAUCUGUCUGAAUGUAUCGUACGAAUAAGGAUCGGCUAACUCCGUGCCAGCCGCCGCGGUAAUACGGAGGAUUCAAGCGUUAUCCGGAUUUAUUGGGUUUAAAGGGUGCGUAGGCGGUCGGAUAAGUUAGAGGUGAAAUCCCGGGGCUCAACUUCGGAAUUGCCUCUGAUACUGUUCGGCUAGAGUGUAGUUGCGGUAGGCGGAAUGUAUGGUGUAGCGGUGAAAUGCUUAGAGAGCAUACAGAACACCGAUUGCGAAGGCAGCUUACCGGGCUACUACUGACGUUGAGGCACGAAAGCGUGGGGAGCAAACAGGAUUAGAUACCCGAGUAGUC
rnacentral:rRNA from 1 species